rnacentral:rRNA from 1 species
UACGGGGGGAGCAAGCGUUGUUCGGAUUUACUGGGCGUAAAGGGCGCGUAGGCGGUCGUGACAAGUCACUUGUGAAAUCUCCGGGCUUAACUCGGAACGGUCAAGUGAUACUGUCGGACUAGAGUACAGAAGGGGCAACUGGAAUUCUCGGUGUAGCAGUGAAAUGCGUAGAUAUCGAGAGGAACACCAAUUGCGAAGGCAGCUGGCUACAGGGAUAUUGACACUGAGGCACGAAAGCGUGGGGAUCAAACAGG